UACGGAGGGGGCUAGCGUUGUUCGGAAUUACUGGGCGUAAAGCGCACGUAGGCGGCUUUGCAAGUUAGAGGUGAAAGCCCGGGGCUCAACCCCGGAAUUGCCUUUAAAACUGCAAUGCUAGAAUUGUGGAGAGGUAAGUGGAAUUCCGAGUGUAGAGGUGAAAUUCGUAGAUAUUCGGAAGAACACCAGUGGCGAAGGCGACUUACUGGACACAUAUUGACGCUGAGGUGCGAAUGCGUGGGGAGCAAACAGG
rnacentral:rRNA from 1 species